CCUACGGGAGGCUGCAGUGGGGAAUAUUGCGCAAUGGGCGAAAGCCUGACGCAGCGACGCCGCGUGAGGGAUGAAGGUCUUCGGAUCGUAAACCUCUGUCAGCAGGGAAGAACGGUCACUGUGCUAAUCAGCAGUGAAUUUACUGUACCUGCAAAGGAAGCACCGGCUAACGCCGUGCCAGCAGCCGCGGUAAUACGGAGGGUGCGAGCGUUAAUCGGAAUUACUGGGCGUAAAGCGCUCGUAGGCGGUAUGUCAAGUCAAGGGUGAAAUCCCCGGGCUCAACGUGGGAACUGCCUUUGAUACUGGCAAACUGGAGUGUGUGAGAGGAUAGUGGAAUUCGAGGUGUAGGAGUGAAAUGCGUAGAUAUCUGGAGGAACAUCAGUGGCGAAGGCGACUAUCUGGCACAUAACUGACGCUGAGGAGCGAAAGCGUGGGUAGCAAACAGGAUUAGAUACCCGAGUAGUC
rnacentral:rRNA from 1 species